AAAAAUAUAUGUUUGAGUUUCAAAAUUGUAAAUUGCAUUUGCCAAUUCAAUGCAUAAAACUCUAAUCAACAACUAUUUUCAGUUUUUUACUAGAUCAUAACUUCAGGAUAGAGUUCCUAUUCAGUAUUGAGAAGUUCAUUAGACCUGAAAGUUUGAUUGGUUACGGCAAGUGGCAAAAACACAAGGCCACAUUAACUAUUAAUUUCCAAAAUCUCAUUAGUCAAUUGGUCUAUCAAAAUCAUUUUCUAAAACCAUGUUCUUGAAAUGAAUUGAAAAUUUGAACUGUGCCUAUAGUAAAAUCUGUAAAGGGUUUCAAAUGGCAUCCAAGCAUCUAAGUUCCACAGUUGGGGAAAAACUAUUUUUACUCUGCUAACAACAAUGGGGAAAUAACACCAGGGGAAAAGUUGCACUAGAAAAAGUAAAGAACUCCAUUUUAUAUCGACAAGGAUUUCAGAAAAAUGAGAAGAAAAUUAAAAAUUAAAAAACAAAAGAAAUCAUUUAUUUAGGAAACAACAAAAAACAGAAACAAGUGAACUGCCUGCAUUCAAAUCAUAAACGGGGCUACCAUGUGUGCAAAUAGAAAAUUUCUGAUCUGAUAAAAUUAUUUCUCACAGAGUUGAGCAUAAAGUUCCCGAUUAGCUAAAGGAUAUAUAUCAAGAAAGGAAUGUUCAUAUAUUGUCUAGAGCAUGAUCUUCAAGAAAAAGUGCCAUGACUUUCCUUUCAAGCACACACAAUGAGCACAGGCUCAAAUUUGGCUAAAGCCAUUUAUGGUUUAUCACAUGCACUAGAUAAUUACCGUUUAUUUCAUGCAUGUUUGAGUUGAGGGAAAAGAAGAUCAAGUUAGUUAGUUUCAUAUCUCCAUGUCAUUAAUUCUAACUUUCAAUAAAAAUAUAAAGUACCUCAUAAAUCAUAGUAACAGAAGCAAUUCAUCUCUGAAAAGUUGUGAACAUA
rnacentral:lncRNA from 1 species